rnacentral:lncRNA from 1 species
UGAGGAGGAAAACUAAAAUUCAAAGGGGGAGGAGGGCUUCACUUUCCCCCUAUUUACGCAUGUGCAAGGCAACGAUUUCUCAUGAUUGGAGUUACCAAACAUGGGAAAACAAUUGAUUUCUCAUCUCCAAGUCUCAUUUCCAAUUAACCAAAUGAGGCCUUAGAGCAGUUCCACCGGUCCCUUUUGCCAAAGGGCGCUGCCUUGAAAAGAAUGCCCACACCAAGCACAAAUGGUUCGGGCAGCAG